rnacentral:rRNA from 1 species
UACGUAGGGGGCAAGCGUUGUCCGGAUUUAUUGGGCGUAAAGAGCGUGUAGGCGGCCAGGUAGGUCCGUUGUGAAAACUGGAGACUCAACCUCCAGCGGUCGAUGGAAACCAUCUGGCUAGAGUCCGGAAGAGGAGAGUGGAAUUCCUGGUGUAGCGGUGAAAUGCGCAGAUAUCAGGAAGAACACCAAUGGCGAAAGCAGCUCUCUGGGACGGUACUGACGCUGAGACGCGAAAGCGUGGGGAGCGAACAGG